rnacentral:rRNA from 1 species
CCUACGGGGGGCUGCAGUGAGGAAUAUUGGUCAAUGGGCGCGAGCCUGAACCAGCCAAGUAGCGUGAAGGAUGACUGCCCUAUGGGUUGUAAACUUCUUUUAUAAAGGAUUAAAGUGAGGCACGUGUGCCUUUUUGUAUGUACUUUAUGAAUAAGGAUCGGCUAACUCCGUGCCAGCAGCCGCGGUAAUACGGAGGUUCCGAUCUUUAUCCGGAUUUUUUGGGUUUAAAUGUAGCGUAGAUGGGUUGUUAAGUCAGUUGUGAAAUUUUGCGGCUCAACCGUAAAAUUGCAAUUGAUACUGGCAGUCUUGAGUACAGAUGAGGUAGGCGGAAUGCGUGGUGUAGCGGUGAAAUGCUUAGAUAUCACGAAGAACUCCGAUUGCGAAGGCAACUUACUAAACUGCAACUGACAUUGAUGCUCGAAAGUGUGGGUAUCAAACAGGAUUAGAUACCCUAGUAGUC